rnacentral:rRNA from 1 species
CUGCUGUCCGCCAGAGAACUACAAGUGAAAAACUUUAAACUCAAAGGACUUGGCGGUGUCCCAUAUCGACCUAGAGGAGCCUGUCCUAUAAUCGAUACUCCCCGCUCUACCUAACCUCAACUAGCACCCCACAGCCUAUAUACCGCCGUCGACAGUCUACCCCAUGAGGGCCCAACAGUAGACACAAUAGCCCAACCACUAGCACGUCAGGUCAAGGUGUAGCAUAUGCUGAGGAAGAGAUUGGCUACAUUUUUUAUAUUAAAAAACACGAAAUGCAACAUGAAACCCUGCAUGAAGGUGAAUUUAGUAGUAAGAUCUAAUAAGAGUAUUUAUCUUAACAACGCUCUGGGACGCGCACACACCGCCCGUCA